GCCGGUAUAGCUCAGUUGGUAGAGCGCCACUCUUGUAAAGUGGAUGUCCCGUGUUCAAAUCAUGGUGCCGGCACCA
rnacentral:tRNA from 1 species